UACGUAGGUGGCAAGCGUUUGUCCGGAAUUAUUGGGCGUAAAGCGCGCGCAGGCGGUCCUUUAAGUCUGAUGUGAAAUCCCACGGCUCAACCGUGGAAGGUCAUUGGAAACUGGGGGACUUGAGUACAGAAGAGGAAAGCGGAAUUCCAAGUGUAGCGGUGAAAUGCGUAGAGAUUUGGAGGAACACCAGUGGCGAAGGCGGCUUUCUGGUCUGUAACUGACGCUGAGGCGCGAAAGCGUGGGGGAGCAAACAGG
rnacentral:rRNA from 1 species